GAUCGGAGCGCUCGCUGUGCUAUGCGCUCCACGCUGGAGCGCUGCACUUCCGACGGGGCUGAAUUUGCUUACUUCCGGUCCCGCGGCGUCUUAAACGGGCGCUGCCCGUAGAUGCCGCACUGACGCACGGACAGCCUCACUACCCGGACGCUGAGGGACCAGAACCAUCCUACUUCUCCUGGGCCUCCCCGCCAGCCCCGGAACCGUACCUUCUGGACUUCUCCCUACCUCUCCCCUUGGGACCCCGUUACCGCAGUCUAUCAUGUGCCCUAGGGAUCUCUAGUAUCUACACCUACUCGAUUUCAUCUAUAUCAGAGUGGAGAUUCUUUUUCAACAUCCUAAUAGGAGGAGUCACC